rnacentral:rRNA from 1 species
GACGGGCCCGCACAAGCAGCGGAGCGUGUGGUUUAAUUCGAUGUUACACGAAGAACCUUACCAGGGUUUGACAUGCAAGUGGUAGGAAGCCGAAAGGUGACCGACCCUUCGGGGAGCUUGCACAGGUGCUGCAUGGCUGUCGUCAGCUCGUGUCGUGAGAUGUUCGGUUAAGUCCGCUAACGAGCGCAACCCUCGCUGUGUGUUAUAUGUGUCACACGGGACUGCCGGUCUUAAGCCGGAGGAAGGUGGGGAUGAUGUCAAGUCAGCAUGGCCUUUAUAUCCUGGGCUACACACACGCUACAAUGGCCAACACAAUAGGUUGCUAAGCCGCGAGGUGGCGCCAAUCCAUAAAGUUGGUCUCAGUUCAGAUUGUAGGCUGCAACCCGCCUGCAUGAAGAUGGAGUUGCUAGUAACCGCAGGUCAGCUAUACUGCGGUGAAUACGUUCCCGGGGCUU